UAGCUCAGCUGGUAAAGCAGAGG
rnacentral:tRNA from 1 species